CGGAGGGAAACCGAGUCUUAAUUGGGCGUUAAGUUGCAGGGUAUAGACCCGAAACCCGGUGAUCUAGCCAUGGGCAGGUUGAAGGUUGGGUAACACUAACUGGAGGACCGAACCGACUAAUGUUGAAAAAUUAGCGGAUGACCUGUGGCUGGGGGUGAAAGGCCAAUCAAACCGGGAGAUAGCUGGUUCUCCCCGAAAGCUAUUUAGGUAGCGCCUCGUGAACUCAUCUCCGGGGGUAGAGCACUGUUUCGGCUAGGGGGCCAUCCCGGCUUACCAACCCGAUGCAAACUGCGAAUACCGGAGAAUGUUAUCACGGGAGACACACGGCGGGUGCUAACGUCCGUCGUGAAGAGGGAAACAACCCAGACCGCCAGCUAAGGUCCCAAAGUCAUGGUUAAGUGGGAAACGAUGUGGGAAGGCCCAGACAGCCAGGAUGUUGGCUUAGAAGCAGCCAUCAUUUAAAGAAAGCGUAAUAGCUCACUGGUCGAGUCGGCCUGCGCGGAAGAUGUAACGGGGCUAAACCAU
rnacentral:rRNA from 1 species